UAUCCGGAAUUAUUGGGCGUAAAGGGCUCGUAGGCGGUUCGUCGCGUCCGGUGUGAAAGUCCAUCGCUUAACGGUGGAUCCGCGCCGGGUACGGGCGGGCUUGAGUGCGGUAGGGGAGACUGGAAUUCCCGGUGUAACGGUGGAAUGCGUAGAUAUCGGGAAGAACACCAAUGGCGAAGGCAGGUCUCUGGGCCGUUACUGACGCUGAGGAGCGAAAGCGUGGGGAGCGAACAGGAUUAGAUACCCUGGUAAUCCACGCCGUAAACGGUGGAUGCUGGAUGUGGGGCCCGUUCCACGGGUUCCGUGUCGGAGCUAACGCGUUAAGCAUCCCGCCUGGG
rnacentral:rRNA from 1 species